rnacentral:rRNA from 1 species
UACGGGGGGGGCAAGCGUUGUUCGGAAUUACUGGGCGUAAAGGGUUUGUAGGUGGCUUGCUAAGUCAGACGUGAAAUCCCUCAGCUUAACUGGGGAAGUGCACUCGAAACUGCAAGGCUAGAGUCUCGGAGAGGAUCGUGGAAUUCUCGGUGUAGAGGUGAAAUUCGUAGAUAUCGAGAGGAACACCGGUGGCGAAGGCGGCGAUCUGGACGAUGACUGACGCUGAGACGCGAAAGCGUGGGGAGCAAACAGG